AGGUGCAGGUUAGUUCCUUCCUAUUUAAUAAUGUGCCAAGCGGAGGUAGUGACCCAAGUUGAGGGAUUGCGAGGAGAGUUGUGCAGAGGAAGGGCGAGGGAGGACAUGCCAGGAUCUACAAGUAAACAUCGGCAAGAAAAUAUCCUCCAUUGGCUGCUGGAUCGGAGCGGAUCUUUCCCAGUGUGUUGAUGGCCACAACGGCAGAGUAUUUUUCUCUUCCCAAGGCAUGCGUGAGGAUGAAGAGGCCAUGUUUGAUCCUGUGCGUGAUGAUUUCGGUUGUGAUCUGCUGCUGGCUGUGGGAUAUGCUUGG